AAUUAUUUGUACUUCAAUACAUAACUGCAGGAUUCUAUGAUGCUGCAUCAGCUCAAAGGGAAACUGCUUACAAAUAUAUGCUGUUGAAAAGUUAGCCAUAUCUACUCUAGGACCUCCAUCUUGUUCAGACACCUGCACAUGGCCACUGUGCUGUCUGAGAAUGCAUUUUAAAUCCAUAUUCGAAAAUGCAUCUCUACCCCUCUCUUAGGGUUUCUUUAAAAGCUCAGGGAAGUUGUUUAACAUCCUGGUUUUAAAAUUCAGCUUCCAUUUUUCUCUAAUAACCAUUUGCUGCAGAACAUUAGGUGAUCAGAAGUCCAACAACAUUUGUUGAAGUUCAUUUGUAAGAUGUUCAAUGUGUAAGUAGUAUGCCAUUUGUGGUGAAUGGGAACAAGUAUACAGUUUUGGAGAACUAGGAUUGCUGAUCAUAAAGGAGAAGUGUUCGUUGCACACUUUAAUUGCC